rnacentral:rRNA from 1 species
UACGAAGGGGGCUAGCGUUGCUCGGAAUCACUGGGCGUAAAGGGUGCGUAGGCGGGUCUUUUAAGUCAGGGGUGAAAUCCUGGAGCUCAACUCCAGAACUGCCUUUGAUACUGAAGAUCUUGAGUUCGGGAGAGGUGAGUGGAACUGCGAGUGUAGAGGUGAAAUUCGUAGAUAUUCGCAAGAACACCAGUGGCGAGGGCGGCUCACUGGCCCGAUACUGACGCUGAGGCACGAAAGCGUGGGGAGCAAACAGG